AUGUUCAGAUUAUGUUGUUUUAUCAAGAACAAAUACACAAGAAAAAUUAAUGAAUACUUGCAGAUGAAAAUGCACAACAAGCAAUUUUUUUUAUACAUCAACAGGAGUUCAAAGGUACACAAAACAGAUCUGCAAACAAAACAUGUGUAUAGAUAUAUUUCUGGAUAUGUCUCAGUUAAAUUCUACUAA